UUACAGAUUUCCCAUAUUACGUUGCUCACGUUGCUUAUUUUUCUUUAUUCAUAAUGUUGAUGUAUUUUUGUUUUCCUUUUUUUUUUCCUCUUAGAUU